ensembl:lncRNA
AGGGGAUAGUGGUGGGGUAAGAGGCUUGUGAUUAAGAACUACUUGUUGAUUGAUUGUAUAUGGUUGUUUAUUGUGAUUUGUAUGCUCUGCUCUCCCUAAAGAGUCUCCUUGGGAAGUUUGUCCUUUUUCUUGCUAGUAUGCUCCAGGGGUGAGCACAAGGCUAUUGUGGAAACUCGGGCUUCCCCUGAGACGUCAGCUGAAACACCCCUUCUCUGUGGAAUGCCUAUGGACAUCCCAAGUUCUCUCCAAGAUGUUUGUGGACUUGGGGUUUAGAUUUUUGGGGUCCCCUCUGCCUCCUGGUUCUGAGGUCUCUGUGCUCUCCCUGUUCUGCUGUGGAUUUAAACUCGGACAUGAAACCCUUCUCUUGUUCUCCAAAACCACUCGCACCAAGCAUUUAGGUGUGUAGCUGGUUCUAGGGUUUUAUGGUGCCCACCCUUGUGCCAUUUUGUGAGUACCUUUCUCUUCCUCUUCCCUUCACUGCUCCACAUCUAUUUCCCACAAAUUGCCCUCAUCUCUAAAUCCUCCCUCUAUUUACUCAGCCCUCCUGAGCUCCCCACCCCAAACAGGCUUAGGCUAAAUUGUCAUGGUGCACAGUAGACAAGAAAGCUUCCUGUUAGACAGACUCAUCCUCCAAUAGAAAGCGGUUAUGGUUAAAAAUUCUGAAAAUGUGCUGGGGCUGGCCCCGUGGCCAAGUGGUUAAGUUCGCGCGCUCCGCUGCAGGCAGCCCAGUGUUUCGUCGGUUCGAAUCCUGGGCGCGGACAUGGCACUGAUCGUCAGACCACGCUGAGGCAGCGUCCCACAUGCCACAACUAGAGGAACCCACAACGAAGAAUGCACAACUAUGUACCGGGGGGCUUUGGGGAGAAAAAGGAAAAAAUAAAAAAUCUUUAAAAAAAAAAAAAUUCUGAAAAUGUGCUUUCUAAAAGACAAGAGAUCCAGCAGUUAGGGUUUGGGGACCUCUAAGAUUUAUGUCCAAACCCAGCACAACUACUCAUUUUAAACCAGGAAGGCCUCACCCUUCAAGACAUCAUCUCACCUUGUAAAGUAUUAGCUCUUCCAGAGACAGGGCAAGGAGAAGUUGAAAGGCAGAGCAAAGCUAGAGGCAAAUAAGAGGCCCAGCAGGGAAAAGGGUCCCGAUCACCCUACCUUCUCCUCUUGUCUCCAGAGGGCUGGCCUACAAGUCAGAAGGCUGGGCUUCUGGAACUUGCUCCUCAUCAACCUUAUGAUCUUAGGCCUGGGUGUUCUCAUCCGCAGAGCGAGGAUAAUAAGGGAGGGACAAAGGCUUAAUGGAACGGGAUACAUGAGUACCUGCUUCAUAGUAGCUGCUUAACAUGUUCUAGAUGCCACAUUCGCCUCUGCUUUUGCAACAAGAAAAAGACGUGAGCCUUAACAUUUCUUGUGUGGGUGCUGAGACUAUUAGCUAAAUGUUUGGUGAUCCUCCACAGCUUCUUCAGUGCUCAUCAAUCAGUCAGCAAGUGAGGGUCGAACACCCACACCAUACCUCACCACAGUGGUCUCAGUGUGAGACUGGUGAUCAGGGCGGUACUUAUUUUGGAAGCUAAAGUGAGCUAACGUUUUGUUUUAAAAUUUGUUUGUAUUUUGAUAUUCUCCCAUGAGGAAACUGGCGCUGCCUCCCCACCCACCACCAAGUCAGGGCGCCCCCCCACCCCCCUCCACCCCUGUGCCGCCAUGUGGUGCUCCUGGUGCAGUGCUGGCAGCGCCCAGCAGGGGCCGGCCUCGCUCUUCCCUGGCCGGCCCUGGCUCACCGGCGAGCAGCAGGCUGCGCGGGGAUGUGGGGGAGGCUCUUUCUCUCAGCUGAGGUUUGAAGACCUUUUCACCAUGAGCCACAGGAAGACAUGCAUUUUACAUCACAACCCAGUGUAGGUUUAUGCACAUGUGUGUUUUGCUAAGCAACACUUACUGCAUGGGUGCACUCUGAUCUAUUUCUAGUUUGUUCAGUUCUGUCCGAGAUUUGGUCAUUUAAAAAAUGCUGCUCACACCCCCCAGUAGAAGGAGACCCAUACUCUGAAACCCACUGGGAGUCUGAGCCUGGGAGUGGGGACAUGGGUGGGGGAUAUUUGGGAUCACCUGAAAAGGACCUCUCAGUACAGAGAUUAAAAAGUGUGGGCUAGGGAGCCAGGCUGCCGCAUGGAAUCCCAGCUCUGCCCUUUUCUCCAUUUGUAGCCUGGACGACCUUCUCUACCCUUCUAUGCUCAGUAAAAGACAGCACUGGUGAUAAUAGCCACGCCUUUUCCACUCAGAAGCAGGCACUGCUGCAGCGUGCCAUCACCGCAAAGCCUGCCUGGAUUCACUGACCCGACAUAUGUUGACACCUAUGUUGACACCUCCUACGGAAGAUAGCUGAGCAGAAAGCUCCCGGCCUGGCUGAUGUGGCUGAAUAGCAUGCAGACAAUUACAACAAAAGUGAUACGGUGAUGAUGGGCGCUGGGUGCCCUGGGGACACGUGGAUGCCUGGAAGACUCCUUAGCUCAGCGGUUCUCAAAGCGUGGUCCCCCAGACCAGCAGCAGCAGCAGCAGAACCUGAGAACUUGUUAGAAAUGCAACUUCUUGGGCCUUCAUCCAUGUGUGCAGUCAGAAAACCGGGAGUGGGCCCGGCUAGCUGUUUUAAUAAGUCUUCCCAGUGAUGCUGAUACACAUUCCAAUCUGAGAACGACUGCCAGUGGUUACCAGAGUCAUCUGGGGGCACCCAGUAUCAAUUUAAUCACAUCUGGGAGUGGGAGUCAGGCAUCAGUAGUUUUUUAAAAGAUUCCCAGAUGAUUUUUUUCUCCUUCUUCUUCCCAAAGCCCCCCAGUACGUAGUUGUAUAUUCUAGUUGUAGGUCCUUCUAAUUCUGCUAUGUGGGGCACCACCUCAGCAUGGCUUGAAGAGCAGUGCUAGGUCCCCGCUCAGGAUCCGAACUAGUGAAACCCUGGGCCGCUGAAGCAGAGCGCGUGAACUCAACCACUUGGCCAUGAGGCCAGCCCCUCACAAAAGUAGGGCAACCGCUGUCCCAACCCAAACCCAGGGAGUGGGGCAUCUGAGAAAGCUUACUGGAGGGGGUGUCAUGUAGGCAGAAACCUUAAAUGCAGUCGGGGCUUGUGAGUUAACAUGGGUUGGAGGGAAAUGUGGAGGAGCGAGGGGAUGGCUGGUGCCCAUAGAAGGUUCCAAAGGGACUGUAAUCUAAUGUGGAAGAAGGUGGGAUCUGGAGAUGACCUUCUGGGUGCGAAUCCUGCUGCACCCUCCUAGCUAGUGUGACCACAGGCCAAUUACUUAACCUCUCUUUCUCAUCCACAUGGGGUUCCCAUGAGGAUUAAGCACAUAAUAGAAAUUUUGCUUAUUACUGUUGGUAUGGGAUUAUAAUUAUAAGUUGAGCUAAAGGCCCAGGCAUGAGCCAGAAUAUCUGGGGAGCUUAGUGUGACAAGAGC